rnacentral:rRNA from 1 species
CUACGGGGUGCUCCAGUGAGGAAUAUUGCACAAUGGGGGGAAUCCUGAUGCAGCGACGCCGCGUGGAGGAUGACGCAUUUCGGUGUGUAAACUCCUUUUAUAUGUCAAGAAAAUGACGGUAGCAUAUGAAUAAGCACCGGCUAACUCCGUGCCAGCAGCCGCGGUAAUACGGAGGGUGCAAGCGUUACUCGGAAUCACUGGGCGUAAAGGACGCGUAGGCGGGUUGGAAAGUCAGGUGUGAAAUCCUACAGCUUAACUGUAGAACUGCACUUGAAACUUCUAAUCUAGAGUAUGGGAGGGGGAGAUGGAAUUAGUGGUGUAGGGGUAAAAUCCGUAGAUAUCACUAGGAAUACCUAAAGCGAAGGCGAUCUCCUGGAACAUUACUGACGCUAAGGCGUGAAAGCGUGGGGAGCAAACAGGAUUAGAUACCCGCGUAGUC